GACGAACGCUGGCGGCGCGCCUAAUACAUGCAAGUCGAACGGUCCGGCUUCGGCCGGACAGUGGCGGACGGGUGAGUAACACGUGGGUGACCUGCCCUGGAGUGGGGAAUAACUCUGCGAAAGCAGCGCUAAUACCGCAUACGCUUCCCGGUUCAGUCGGGGAAGCAAAGCCUUGUGCGCUCUAGGAGGGGCCUGCGGCAGAUUAGCUAGUCGGGUGGGUAAUGGCCUACCGAGGCGACGAUCUGUAGCUGGUCUGAGAGGAUGACCAGCCACACGUGGGACUGAGACACGGCCCAGACUCCUACGGGAGGCAGCAGUAAGGAAUCUUCCACAAUGGCCNCAAGGCUGAUGGAGCGACGCCGCGUGCGCGACGA
rnacentral:rRNA from 1 species